ensembl:lncRNA novel transcript
AAGUAUAUUGUUACUGUGCUUUGGGAUUAAAAUAAGUAACUACAGUUUAUAGAACUUUUAUACUGAUACACAGACACUAAAAAGGGAAAGGGUUUAGAUGAGAAGCUCUGCUGUGCAAUCAAGAAUCUCAGCCACUCAUUUCUGUAGGGGCUGCAGGAGCUCCCUGUAAAGAGAGGUUAUGGAGUCUGUAGCUUCAGGUAACCACUGAUCCACUUCCAGUCACUAUCCAUGAGUUUUUAUUUCCAAAUACAUGAAAUCAUAUGAAUUUCUGGUUUUUCCUGUUGGAGCCCAAGGAGCAAGGGCAGAAUGAGGAACAUGAU